UACCUCAAAAAAUAGUUUCUGGCAUCAUAAUUUCUCCAGUAUUGCCACAUCUCUUACGGUUUUGACUAAAAAAUGAGGUGUUUUGUUUUGUUUUGUUUAAAUCUGAAUCUCUCGUGGGCUGUUUAAGCUCAAUGUCACAUCUGUUCAAAUUUCAACUCCCCGAUGUGCUCGUCUUAAUUUCCAUUUCAUACUCAGUACAUCUCUAGGUUUAUUUGUUUCGGUGUAAUUAUUUGUGUAUUAGUUAUCAUGAGUUAGGAUUCGUUAGAUUCACGGUGAAAAUCUUCUUUGUCUUGACUAAAAUUUAGUCACUGUUUUGCUUUAAAAUGUAGAAAAUGCCUUGUCUCUUCUUUUGCCUUUUCAACUAGAAUUCAUUAGCUCUUGAUUGGUUGUUAUUCUAUUUAUUUCCAUGUGUUGAAAAUAAUAAGUUGAAUCAAUAUGUCCAUUAUUAUCAUAUACUGAUUCUAUUUUUUUUUUCUUUUGCGUAUGUGAUAUUCCGAGAGAAUCCAUUUUGGUUUCGACCUUUUUUUCUCCAUUUGCAUUUUCGGUUGGGCCACCAUAGGCCCAAACACGAGUCAUUUGCAAUUCGGUAUUUGUUCGAAUCAUAUCGGCAACCAAUAUAGAACAGUGAAGCUGAAAUAUGGUUCCGGAAAGCUGAAACAACCUGAGAUACAGCCUGUAUACAUAGAUAUACAACGGGACAUACUGAUAUACAGGUUAAAACGCAGCAGCCACAGGUCAAAAAAUAAAGGAUGGGGUCGGAAACUGAAAUACAGGUCCUAGAAUCUCAGAAAAAUGGGUUGUAUACAUCCGAUAUACACGGAUAUACACCGGAUAUAUACAAAAACGGGUUUAAGAUUAAACCCCAAAAUUUCAGCGAAUUUGGCCCAAAAAGAGGCCCAAAUUCAAUUUCUCCCUUACUCUUUAAUUAUUUAAUUAUGAUUAUUUAUUGUUCGUUGUUUAACUCUAACUUUAUAUUUGUUAAUUAACUUAAUUAAAAUCCCCAAAAGAUGAACCGUAUUCUUUAUGUUAGAUAUAUUUCAACAAAAUUUCCUUUUUAUCAACUCUCCUACUAUUAUUGAAAACUUUUACUUAAUUUUCGGUUAAUUUAAAAUAGUUUCCAUACUUUGAUUGACCAAAUGGGCCUAAAUUAUUAUUUUUAAGGGAUUCAAAAAUAAAAUAAAAAUUCUAAUUAAUCUAGAUUUGCCAAAUGCUAAUUGCUUACAAAUUAAUUCGAGUAUUCCAGUUAAAGAUUCAAUUUUCCUAAGAAACUAAGAAUUGUUCUUUUUAACUAUUUUUCUCAAAAUUGAUCAAAUAUUAUAAGUUAUUAUGUCAACAAAUCAUUUUUUUUAAAAGAUUAGUGAAAGUCAUUUUUAGUCAAAUUGCCGGUCAACCGCAAGUUAGCGGGCAUUCCGAGGGCCUAACACCUUCUCGGAAUGUACAUUUGUACUCGAACCCUUUUUCAAUUGAUUUUAUCUGUUUAAAUCUUUUGAAAAAUCUUGUAUUUUUUCUUGAUUUUUUAAUAAAAAUUAAGUGGCGACUCUGUCCUUUUGGAAAUUCGAUUUCACUUAAAUCAUAAGUUUAAUCGAUUUUUUAAAACUUAGUCAUUUUCCUUGUAUAUAUAUUUUUAAAUAAAACAUUUUAGAUACGAUAACUAUGUGUUUCAUCAUGGGGGAUUUUCUUUUCGUCUAAAUCGAUGUUUCUGAUCAUAGUAUGUCUCAAAAUCAUGAAUGUUGUUACUCGUAAAUCGUAAAUGAUAAAUACAUCGCUUUAUGUGUAUGAUGCUGGCUCUUAGAAAUCUACUGCUCCUCUCUUGUUCUAGUAUAGUUCCAAGCAUGUUUCAUUAAUUGUUUACCUCAAAAAAUAGCUUCUGGCAUCAUAAUUUCUCCAGUAUUGCCACAUCUCUUACGGUUUUGACUAAAAAAUGAGGUGUUUUGUUUUGUUUUGUUUAAAUCUGAACCUCUCGUGGGCUGUUUAAGCUCAAUGUCACAUCUGUUCAAAUUUCAACUCCCCGAUGUGCUCGUCUUAAUUUCCAUUUCAUACUCAGUACAUCUCUAGGUUUAUUUGUUUCGGUGUAAUUAUUUGUGUAUUAGUUAUCAUGAGUUAGGAUUCGUUAGAUUCACGGUGAAAAUCUUCUUUGUCUUGACUAAAAUUUAGUCACUGUUUUGCUUAAAAAUGUAGAAAAUGCUUUGUCUCUUCUUUUGCCUUUUCAACUAGAAUUCAUUAGCUCUUGAUUGGUUGUUAUUCUAUUUAUUUCCAUGUGUUGAAAAUAAUAAGUUGAAUCAAUAUGUCCAUUAUUAUCAUAUACUGAUUCUAUUUUUUUUUCUUUUGCGUAUGUGAUAUUCCGAGAGAAUCCAUUUUGGUUUCGACCUUUUUUUCUCCAUUUGCAUUUUCGGUUGGGCCACCAUAGGCCCAAACACGAGUCAUUUGCGAUUCGGUAUUUGUUCGAAUCA
rnacentral:lncRNA from 1 species